AUUGAACGCUAGCGGGAUGCUUUACACAUGCAAGUCGAACGAGUGGCGGACGGGUGAGUAAUAUAUCGGAACGUGCCCAGUAGCGGGGGAUAACUACUCGAAAGUGUCGCUAAUACCGCAUACUAUCGGAGUUGCCGAUAUCGGAUGAGCUAGUUGGUGGGGUAAAGGCUCACCAAGGCUACGAUCCGUAGCUGGUUGGUGAGGAUGACCAGCCACGCUGGGACUGAGACACGGCCCAGACUCCUACGGGAGGCAGCAGUGGGGAAUUUUGGACGAUGGGGGAAAGCCUGAUCCAGCCAUCCCGCGUGUAUGAGAAGGCCUUCGGGUUGUAAAGUACUUUUGGCAGAGAAGCGGUAUCUGCAGAAUAAGCACCGGCUAACUACGUGCCAGCAGCCGCGGUAAUUC
rnacentral:rRNA from 1 species